CGGGGUGCAGCAGGCGCGAAAACUUUGCAAUGCGGGAAACCGUGACAAGGGAACUCUGAGUGCCCGUUAAAUCGGGCUGUCCAUCGGUUUAAAUAACCGGUGAAGAAAGGGCCGGGCAAGACCGGUGCCAGCCGCCGCGGUAAUACCGGCGGCUCGAGUGGUGGCCACUAUUACUGGGCUUAAAGCGUUCGUAGCUGGUUUGUUAAGUCUCUGGGGAAAUCUUCCGGCUUAACCGGAAGGCGUCUCAGGGAUACUGGCAGACUAGGGACCGGGAGAGGUGAGAGGUACUCCAGGGGUAGGAGUGAAAUCCUGUAAUCCUUGGGGGACCACCUGUGGCGAAGGCGUCUCACCAGAACGGCUCCGACAGUGAGGGACGAAAGCUGGGGGAGCAAACCGGAUUAGAUACCCGGGUAGUCCCAGCUGUAAACGAUGUGCGUUAGGUGUAUCGGUGACCACGAGUCACCGAGGUGCCGAAGAGAAAUCGUGAAACGUACCGCCUGGGAAGUACGGUCGCAAGGCUGAAACUUAAAGGAAUUGGCGGGGGA
rnacentral:rRNA from 1 species